rnacentral:rRNA from 1 species
UACGUAGGGCGCGAGCGUUGUCCGGAAUUAUUGGGCGUAAAGAGCUCGUGGGCGGCCUGUCGCGUCCGCUGUGAAAUCCCGGGGCUCAACCCCGGGCUUGCAGUGGAUACGGGCUGGCUAGAGGCAGGCAGGGGAGAACGGAAUUCCCGGUGUAGCGGUGAAAUGCGCAGAUAUCGGGAGGAACACCGGUGGCGAAGGCGGUUCUCUGGGCCUGUACUGACGCUGAGGAGCGAAAGCGUGGGGAGCGAACAGGAAUUAG